GACGAACGCUGGCGGCGUGCUUAACACAUGCAAGUCGAACGGAAAGGCCCUGCUUUUGUGGGGUGCUCGAGUGGCGAACGGGUGAGUAACACGUGAGUAACCUGCCCUUGACUUUGGGAUAACUUCAGGAAACUGGGGCUAAUACCGGAUAGGAGCUCCUGCUGCAUGGUGGGGGUUGGAAAGUUUCGGCGGUUGGGGAUGGACUCGCGGCUUAUCAGCUGGUUGGUGGGGUAGUGGCUUACCAAGGCUUUGACGGGUAGCCGGCCUGAGAGGGUGACCGGCGACAUUGGGACUGAGAUACGGCGCAGACUGCAACGGGAGGCAGCAGUGGGGAGUAUUGCACAAUGGGCGGAAGCCUGAUACAGCAACGCCGCGUGCGGGAUGACGGCCUUCGGGUUGUAAACCGCUUUCGCCUGUGACGAAGCGGGAGUGACGGUAAUGGGUAAAGAAGCACCGGCUAACUACGUG
rnacentral:rRNA from 1 species